rnacentral:misc_RNA from 1 species
AACGGUCUAUACCUGCGGUACCUGCGGAGGGAUCAUUAAUGAGAAACUGCCCCUCGCGGGUAGAUCUCCCACCCUUUGUAAACUUACCUUUGUUGCUUUGGCAGGCCCGUCUCCGGACCGCCGGCUUCGGCUGGCCAGUGCCUGCCAGAGGAUUCUAAAACUCUGUCUGUCAGUGUUGUCUGAGUCUAUAUACAAUCGUUAAAACUUUUAGCAACGGAUCUCUAGAUCGGAAGAGCACAC